rnacentral:rRNA from 1 species
UCGAUUUGGAGUUUGUUGCCUAGAGUGAUGGGAUCCGAAGCUAACGCGAUAAAUCGACCGCCUGGGGAGUACGGCCGCAAGGUUAAAACUCAAAUGAAUUGACGGGGGCCCGCACAAGCGGUGGAGCAUGUGGUUUAAUUCGAUGCAACGCGAAGAACCUUACCUGGUCUUGACAUCCACAGAAUCUUGCAGAGAUGCGAGAGUGCCUUCGGGAACUGUGAGACAGGUGCUGCAUGGCUGUCGUCAGCUCGUGUUGUGAAAUGUUGGGUUAAGUCCCGCAACGAGCGCAACCCUUAUCCUUUGUUGCCAUUGGUUCGGCCGGGAACUCAAAGGAGACUGCCGUUGAUAAAGCGGAGGAAGGUGGGGACGACGUCAAGUCAUCAUGGCCCUUACGACCAGGGCUACACACGUGCUACAAUGGCGUAUACAAAGGGAGGCGACCUCGCGAGAGCAAGCGGACCUCAUAAAGUACGUCUAAGUCCGGAUUGGAGUCUGCAACUCGACUCCAUGAAGUCGGAAUCGCUAGUAAUCGUGAAUCAGAAUGUCACGGUGAAUACGUUCCCGGGCCU